rnacentral:rRNA from 1 species
UACGUAGGGUGCAAGCGUUGUCCGGAAUUAUUGGGCGUAAAGAGCUCGUAGGCGGUUUGUCGCGUCUGCUGUGAAAAUCCAGGGCUUAACCCUGGACCUGCAGUGGGUACGGGCAGACUGGAGUGCGGUAGGGGGAGAUCGGAAUUCCUGGUGUAGCGGUGAAAUGCGCAGAUAUCAGGAGGAACACCGGUGGCGAAGGCGGAUCUCUGGGCCGUAACUGACGCUGAGGAGCGAAAGCAUGGGGAGCGAACAGG